rnacentral:rRNA from 1 species
GAACGGCAGCGGGGGGAAGCUUGCUUUCCCGCCGGCGAGUGGCGGACGGGUGAGUAAUGCCUGGGGAGCUGCCCAAUCGAGGGGGAUACCAGUUGGAAACGACUGCUAAUACCGCAUACGCCUCGAGGGGGAAAGAUGGGGAUCUUCGGACCUAUCGCGAUUGGAUGCACCCAGGUGGGAUUAGCUAGUUGGUGAGGUAACGGCUCACCAAGGCGACGAUCUCUAGCUGGUCUGAGAGGAUGACCAGCCACACUGGAACUGAGACACGGUCCAGACUCCUACGGGAGGCAGCAGUGGGGAAUAUUGCACAAUGGGGGAAACCCUGAUGCAGCCAUGCCGCGUGUGUGAAGAAGGCCUUCGGGUUGUNAAGCACUUUCAGUCAGGAGGAAAGGUGGCUANGCUAUAUCUAGUUGCUGUGACGUUACUGACAGAAGAAGCACCGGCUACUCCGUG